rnacentral:rRNA from 1 species
AGAUUGAACGCUGGCGGCAUGCCUUACACAUGCAAGUCGAACGGCAGCACGGGAGCAAUCCUGGUGGCGAGUGGCGAACGGGUGAGUAAUACAUCGGAACGUGCCCAAUCGUGGGGGAUAACGCAGCGAAAGCUGUGCUAAUACCGCAUAAGAUCUACGGAUGAAAGCAGGGGAUCGCAAGACCUUGCGCGAAUGGAGCGGCCGAUGGCAGAUUAGGUAGUUGGUGAGGUAAAGGCUCACCAAGCC